rnacentral:rRNA from 1 species
UGAGCAACCUGCCCUUGACUCUGGAAUAACAGCUGGAAACAGCUGCUAAUACCGGAUACGACCUCCGAUGGCAUCAUCUGGAGGUGGAAAGCUCCGACGGUCAAGGAUGGGCUCGCGGCCUAUCAGCUUGUUGGUGAGGUAACGGCUCACCAAGGCUUCGACGGGUAGCCGGCCUGAGAGGGCCGACCGGCCACACUGGGACUGAGAUACGGCCCAGACCUCGUACGGGGA